rnacentral:rRNA from 1 species
CUGCUCAGGACGAACGCUGGCGGCGUGCCUAAUACAUGCAAGUCGAGCGGAACCAUUGGAGCUUGCUCCUUUGGUUUAGCGGCGGACGGGUGAGUAACACGUGGGCAACCUGCCCUGCAGAUCGGGAUAACUCCGGGAAACCGGUGCUAAUACCGAAUAGUUUGCGGCCUCUCAUGAGGCUGUACGGAAAGACGGUUUCGGCUGUCACUGCAGGAUGGGCCCGCGGCGCAUUAGCUAGUUGGUGAGGUAACGGCUCACCAAGGCCACGAUGCGUAGCCGACCUGAGAGGGUGAUCGGCCACACUGGGACUGAGACACGGCCCAGACUCCUACGGGAGGCAGCAGUAGGGAAUCUUCCGCAAUGGACGAAAGUCUGACGGAGCAACGCCGCGUGAGUGAAGAAGGUUUUCGGAUCGUAAAACUCUGUUGUGAGGGAAGAACAAGUACCAAUAACUACUGGAC